GGGCUCCCUUGAGCAGCGCGUAGGCUAAAAUCGGAAUGGUGCAGAAAAGAUGAGCAUGGCCCCUGCGCAAGGAUGACACACAGAUUUGUGAAGCGUUUCAUGUGUUU
ensembl:snRNA U6 U6 spliceosomal RNA